rnacentral:rRNA from 1 species
AGAGUUUGAUCCUGGCUCAGGACGAACGCUGGCGGCGUGCCUAACACAUGCAAGUCGAACGGAGUUAAGCCCUUCGGGACUUAACUUAGUGGCGAACGGGUGAGUAACGCGUGAGAAACCUGCCUUUCAGUGGGGGACAACAGUUGGAAACGACUGCUAAUACCGCAUGAUACUUCUUGAGGGCAUCCUUAAGAAGUCAAAGCUUUAUGUGCUGAAAGAUGGUCUCGCGUCUGAUUAGCUAGUUGGCGGGGUAACGGCCCACCAAGGCGACGAUCAGUAGCCGGUCUGAGAGGAUGAACGGCCACAUUGGGACUGAGAUACGGCCCAGACUCCUACGGGAGGCAGCAGUGGGGAAUAUUGGGCAAUGGGGGAAACCCUGACCCAGCAACGCCGUGUGAAGGAAGAAGGCCUUCGGGUUGUAAACUUCUUUUACCAGGGACGAAGAACGUAACGGUGCCUGGAGAAAAAGCAACGGCUAACUACGUGCCAGCAGCCGCGGUAAUACGUAGGUUGCAAGCGUUGUCCGGAUUUACUGGGUGUAAAGGGCGUGUAGGCGGAGCUGCAAGUCAGAUGUGAAAUCCCGGGGCUCAACCCCGGAACUGCAUUUGAAACUGUAGCCCUUGAGUAUCGGAGAGGCAAGCGGAAUUCCUAGUGUAGCGGUGAAAUGCGUAGAUAUUAGGAGGAACACCAGUGGCGAAGGCGGCUUGCUGGACGACAACUGACGCUGAGGCGCGAAAGCGUGGGGAGCAAACAGGAUUAGAUACUCUGGUAGUCCACGCUGUAAACGAUGUAUACUAGGUAUGGGAGGAAUGACCCAUUCCGUGCCGCAGUUAACACAAUAAGUAUUCCAACUGGGGAGUACGACCGCAAGGUUGAAACUCAAAGGAAUUGACGGGGGCCCGCACAAGCAGUGGAUUAUGUGGUUUAAUUGGACGCAACGCGAAGAACUUUACCAGGAUAUGACAUCCAAAUAACGAAGCAGAGAUGCAUUAGGUGCCCUUCGGGGAAAGUUGAGACAGGUGGUGCAUGAUAGUCGUCAGUUCGUCUUGUGAGAUGAUGGGUUAAGUCAUGCAACGAGCGCAACCCCUAUUGAUAGUUGCUACGAAAGAGCAGUUUAUCGAGAUUGCGGUUGACUAAACGGAGGAAGACGGGGACGAAGUCAAAUCAUCAUGCCCGUUAUGUAAUGGGCUACACACGUAAUACAAUGUCAAUCAACAGAGGGAAGAGAAGCAGUGAGGUGGAGCAAAUCUCCAAAAACGGUAUCAGUUUGGAUUACAGGUUACAAAUCGCUUGCAUGAAGAUGGAAUUGCUAUAGAUCGCGGAUCAGCAUGACGCGGAGAAUAUGUUCACCGGGCCUUGUACACGCCGCCAGUCAAGGCAAAUUCGUUAAACAUGCAGACGAGUCCAUUAUUGAGGUAUUUGAGUUGCAUCUGG